GUAGGUUGUCCGUGACUAUUACC
rnacentral:piRNA from 1 species